rnacentral:rRNA from 1 species
UACGUAGGGUGCAAGCGUUGUCCGGAAUUAUUGGGCGUAAAGAGCUCGUAGGCGGUCUGUCACGUCGGCUGUGAAAUCCCGAGGCUCAACCUCGGGUCUGCAGUCGAUACGGGCAAACUAGAGUAUUGCAGGGGAGACUGGAAUUCCUGGUGUAGCGGUGAAAUGCGCAGAUAUCAGGAGGAACACCGGUGGCGAAGGCAGCUCGCUGGGACGUUACUGACGCUGAGGCGCGAAAGCGUGGGGAGCGAACAGG